GACCGUGGAGGCUGCAGGACUCAGCUGCCAGCUCUGCAAGGGCCAUGGCCCAGGCUCCCUGGGUUCGCUUCCAGCACUGGACCCAGGCUCCCCGGGGCCUGGCGUGUUUCCUGGCGGAGCUUCCUCAGGAAGCACAGCGAGCGACCCCAUUUCCCUUCUUCCCAGAACUGGCAGGGAGCACAAAGAGGAAUGGGCCUUCUCAAGCAGCCGGGGCCUCGAGGACAGCUCAGGGCAAGCCCGGCCCUGCCACACCUCAGUUCCCACAACUACAAACAGGGCCCCUGCCAAGGCCCCAAAGCCAGCCCCGCUGUGUCCUUCCUGCGGUCCCGAAACCUUCCAGAGAACAGCGAAGAGCUCACAGAGCCCGCGUUGUCUCUGAGCGCUCUUGUCACGGAGGCUAGGCCUGGACAAGGGCACCACAGCGACGCCCAGGAUACACGGGUGUUCCUGGCAGGUGGCUCGGGUCCCAGCUGGGCAUCCGCCCCCUUCAGGAGCCCCUUGGGGGUGAGGACAGAAGACAGACAGAGGACGGCCCUAUGCCCGAAGCAGCCUCGGCUCCCUGCGGCUUUCACCACGAUGCCCUCGGCGAGCCUGGUGGGCGGCCCCGCACCCUGUUCGUCAUUCCCUGUCUUUCCAUCGAAGCUCUCUCGCAUGUCCCUUGAAGCCUAACAACAAUCUACGCAAGUCUGGCUUGGUUCUGAGCUGGGCUGGAGGGAUCCCAGCACGUGGUCUCCGGACUCGUUCUCACUGCGCUCCUAGGACGCAUGGGGGCUGCGGGCGGAGCCGUGGCUGCCCCUCCCCCACCAGCCCCGGAGGCAGCAACCCCCCCCCCCAUAGAGCUGUCACCUGGCAGAUGGAUGAGGCUGACCACCGCUUCCCACGCUUACUGGCCCAGAUGCCCAGACCACAGAGCGUCUGCCAACGACCGUGGCCCAUCUGGCCAUCGGCCUGCUGAUCUUGUUCUCUCUGGUUUGUAGGAUUUCUUUAUUUUUUAUGCAACGGUCCUCUCGGUUCAAAGUGCUACAGACCCCUCUCCCCAGGGUAUGGCUGGCUCCUCCAUCUCCCUAAGGUGGUUUCGGUAAACGUGUUCAUAAGUGGUCCACUUUCAGUGUGUCAAUCCCAUCCUCUGCGCUUAGAGCCCUCCGAUCUGGUUUACGGACCCCCGACUCGGGGUCUGUAGAGACUCACCCGGGAUGUUCUCCACCAGCCUGAGAGUGGAGGGCGGCGCGGCCCCUUCUCCUCACCUCUGCAAAGGUGAUGGCUCCUCCCUCCUGGGGAGAAAUUGGUCCUCGGCAGAGGGCCACCAGCAGGAGGUCUCCGGCUUCACUGCUGACUUCAGGACAGACCACAAGCUGCAAGGGACCCUGCUGCCCGCUGGCAGCUAGGGCUGGGGAAGGUUUGGGGCCGGUCACCCGUGGAUGUGCGCUGGCCUCGGAGCUGGGGGUUUCAGCGGCCCCCUGUGGUCAGACUUGUGCAAAGGAAGUCCCUGCCUAUCUCCCCCCACCCCCCGCAGUAAAACACACCUUCCCAACCACGGGGGUUCCGGCAGCCCCAGGCUUUGAGUUGUGACAUUGUAGCCGGGAGCAGGGCGGGUACGAUGGGGAGGAGACAGCUGUCAGCGAGCACCAGCAAGAGCGAGGUUGGCGGCCUCCACAGAGGACCCCCUCCCCACCCCACCGCAGCGACGGGCCAGGACGCCUGCCAAGGGUGGCACCACAGGGAGAGGCUGGCUGCAUCAGUGCACGGUGCCCCAUGGGCAGGCAGGUGCCCACCCCAGCCAGGCCGGGCACACACCACCAUCUGGGUGUGCGUGCAGGAUCCAGCUCGCUCACAGUCUUAGUAGGCUCUGGCUUCUGUGACAAACACCACAGACCAGGAGGCUCAAACAACAGUUCAUUGUCCCCGUCCUGGAGUCGGAGUUCCAAGAUCCAGGUG